rnacentral:rRNA from 1 species
GCAUAUCAAUAAGCGGAGGAAAAGAAAAUAACAAUGAUUCCCUCAGUAACGGCGAGCGAAGAGGGAUAAGCUCAAAUUUUAAAUCUGUUGGGUUCCACUUAACAGAGUUGUAUUUUGAAGAAACGUUUUCCUGCAUCCAGGAUUAGCCUAAAUCCUUUGGGAUAAGGUAUCAUGGAGGGUGAGAAUCCCGUUCAUGGUUAAUCUUAAGGAAGCUCUACGAUACGUUUUCCAAGAGUCGAGUUGUUUGGGAUUGCAGCUCAAAAUGGGAGGUAAAUUUCUCCUAAGGCUAAAUAUUGGCGAGAGACCGAUAGCGAACAAGUACCGUGAGGGAAAGAUGAAAAGAACUUUGAAAAGAGAGUUAAACAGUACGUGAAAUUGUUGAAAGGGAAACGAUUGAAGUCAGUCAUACCAACGGGAAAUCAACCUUUUGAGCUUGGUCCCGUGGGUUUUGAAGAGUUUCAAAGCCUUCGGAUUCGCGGGAUUGGGAUCUCUUGGUGUACUUUUUCGUACGGUUAGUCAACAUCGGUUUUGAAUGUCAUAAAAUGACUGGAGGAAUGUAGCUUCGAUCUCGUAUUGAAGUGUUAUAGCCUUUGGUAGAUGUGAUGUUUGAGACCGAGGAUUGCAACGGAUACCCUUCAGGGCUAUUCGUCUGAUCUCUGAUACGUUGCCUUGAUGUUGAAAGCUUGCUUAUGAUGUUAGGGUAUUACGGUCAAAAGGUUAGAACGAAUUACAUUCGUUAAGGAUGUUGACGUAAUGGCUUUAAACGAC